AUGAACGCUAGCGGCAGGCUUAACACAUGCAAGUCGAGGGGCAGCAUAAUGAAGUAGCAAUACUGAAUUGAUGGCGACCGGCGCACGGGUGCGUAACGCGUAUGUAACCUACCUCUAACAGGGGGGAUAACACUGAGAAAUUGGUACUAAUACCCCAUAACACUUGAUUGGGCAUCCUAUUGAGUUGAAAGUUCCGGCGGUUAGAGAUGGACAUGCGUUGUAUUAGCUAGAUGGUGAGGUAACGGCUCACCAUGGCGACGAUACAUAGGGGGACUGAGAGGUUAACCCCCCACACUGGUACUGAGACACGGACCAGACUCCUACGGGAGGCAGCAGUGAGGAAUAUUGGUCAAUGGACGCAAGUCUGAACCAGCCAUGCCGCGUGCAGGAUGACGGCUCUAUGAGUUGUAAACUGCUUUUGUACAAGGGUAAACCCCGAUACGUGUAUCGGGCUGAAAGUACUGUACGAAUAAGGAUCGGCUAACUCCGUG
rnacentral:rRNA from 1 species